GACCUGCACCAAGGCCGCCAGCGCGAAGAAGGCGGCCAUGAGUCCGUUGCAGGCCCGCCACAGCGCUGGCGCCAUGGCUCGGAGAACACGGCGCGGGGCGCACCUGACAUACCUGGAUAUAAACAAUAUCCAAGGCCCCUAAGGUAAAAGCCUUGCUCCAAGUCCCCUUCUGACUUCUAGUCACUUCCGUGCUGCCAGCAGAGGGCGUGGGAUUCUUCCUGAGGAGCCUGAGUCUCAGCUUUGCCAGGUCCUUGCUGUGUGACCUUGGGCACCUGUGCUCCCUUGACAAAGAGGAAUAAAACCUCUUCAGACUACUCUCCUAUCGAUUCUCUCCUGGAACAUAUGACCACCAUCAAUUAUAGGCAAGAACAUGAACACGGGAGUCCCAAAGACUUGGGUUCAAAUGUCAGCCCCUUCACUCGCUGGCUGUAGGUGUGAGGCCCUGGGUAAGGUCCUUACCUCCCCAAGUGUCUGAGCCUGUUCCCGUAUAAUGUUCACUUGCCUUGAAUAUCAUGAAAUGUACAUUAGACUUUGUAAGUAAACACCUAGCUGAGUAUCUGGAGCAUAGUAAGUGCUUAUCACACAUUCCAUGGAGUCCCAGACACGAGCAACUAAUGCUCCUGCCGUCCGCUCAGUUUGAGA
rnacentral:lncRNA from 1 species